CUCCUCUGGGAGGCUGUGGAACAAGAAACACUUCUUUCCUAUUGCGGUUCAGUCUUAGGAUUUGUCUGGGAAACCGAGAGACGGUCCAGGGACUGCAUUCUAUCUAUCUCCAGAGAGAAGUUAAGGUGGCUUCCUCACAGUAUGAGGACAUCAGAGUACAUGGCAGCUGGCUUCCAACUGAGAGGAAGAAGACGCUUCCAGUGCAUGUAGGGUCUGGGUUCAGAGCUACCAGAAUAUUACUUCUACUGCACUCUGUUGAUCAAAGCAAGUCACAAGACCAGCCCUAAGUCAGGGAAAGGAAGUAUCUUCUACUUCUUGAUGGGAGGAGCACUUUGCACACACAGGGAGAGAUGAAUUAACAGUGGUCCUCUUUGGAGACUACCUACCCCAGAGAGGGAAGGAGAGAGAAGAGGAGAAUUGAGGAGGAGGAAGAGAGUGGCUGCCAUUUAUCGAUGAAGCAGGAAGAACACAGAGAAUACCCAGAGAUGAUCUCUGUUAAUAUUUUGAUUUGGGCUUCCC